CUGACUUGAUAUCGUUCCAAAAAGUAUUUCCGAAUCAAUUAUUAGCCCUGCACACAUGAUUAAAGCAGUUCACAAGAACUUUCUCCCUUUUUGUUCAUCACCAGCGUUCACAAGAGCUGGUGCAAUGCACAACUAGUCAAUAAAAUCAUGUCGAACCAUGUUUAGUGUAAUGAUAUAAUCCCAGUACAACAAAAAAGAAAAAAAAAAUGUUGACUAAAUGCUACACCAUAACACUUCUCCAUGUCCAGAGAUACUAUUUCUAUUUAUUGGCAAGAUAAAUCAAAAUGGUGGUGACUUGACCUCGGUGUGUGAGACAAGUCCACCACGCCCACCGCCGAGCUGAAGAAUUGUAGAAAAGCUACCAACGGGCGCUGAAGGGACGAAAGAGG
rnacentral:lncRNA from 1 species